rnacentral:rRNA from 1 species
UCCUGGCUCAGGAUGAACGCUGGCGGCGUGCUUAACACAUGCAAGUCGAGCGAGAAGCUCGUGAACGAUUCUCGGAUGAGUGAUCGAGUGGAAAGCGGCGGACGGGUGAGUAACGCGUAGGCAACCUGCCCCAUACAAAGGGAUAGCUACUGGAAACGGUAAUUAAUACCUCAUAACACGGAGAGACCGCAUGAUCUUUCCGUCAAAGAUUUAUCGGUAUGGGAUGGGCCUGCGUCUGAUUAGCUGGUUGGUGGGGUAACGGCCCACCAAGGCGACGAUCAGUAGCCGACCUGAGAGGGUAAACGGCCACAUUGGAACUGAGACACGGUCCAAACUCCUACGGGAGGCAGCAGUGGGGAAUAUUGCACAAUGGGGGGAACCCUUGAUGCAGCAACGCCGCGUGAGCGAAGAAGGCCUUUGGGUCGUAAAGCUCUGUCCUGAAGGAAGAAGGAAGUGACGGUACUUCAGGAGGAACGCCCCGGCUAACUACGUGCCAGCCGCCGC